rnacentral:misc_RNA from 1 species
GGUGAGAGGCGUAGUAGGCUUAAGGGGUGGCUCCUCAACCCAUGGAGGGCGGGCAACCUCACCCAGGCGCGGCAAGGCGCACGGACGAGCACGGCAAGGACAAGCGCAUCUCUACCUGAUUCAGCGACACGUGGCAUUUUUUUUUUCUAAAAAAGCUCAACCUCACUUACCCCACAGUCUAUAGCCACAUAUUGUGUUGUCUAGAAGAAGAAGAAGAGGA